rnacentral:rRNA from 1 species
CCUACGGGGGCUGCAGUGGGGAAUAUUGGACAAUGGGCGAAAGCCUGAUCCAGCCAUGCCGCGUGUGUGAAGAAGGCCUUCGGGUUGUAAAGCACUUUCAGUGGGGAAGAAAGCCUUGGGGCUAAUACCCUCGAGGAAGGACAUCACCCACAGAAGAAGCACCGGCUAACUCCGUGCCAGCAGCCGCGGUAAUACGGAGGGUGCGAGCGUUAAUCGGAAUUACUGGGCGUAAAGCGCGCGUAGGCGGUCUGAUAAGCCGGUUGUGAAAGCCCCGGGCUCAACCUGGGAACGGCAUCCGGAACUGUCAGGCUAGAGUGCAGGAGAGGAAGGUAGAAUUCCCGGUGUAGCGGUGAAAUGCGUAGAGAUCGGGAGGAAUACCAGUGGCGAAGGCGGCCUUCUGGACUGACACUGACGCUGAGGUGCGAAAGCGUGGGUAGCAAACAGGAUUAGAUACCCCAUAGUC